rnacentral:rRNA from 1 species
AACGGCCGUACCGUGCUGAAUAUACCGGUUCUCGUUAGAUCACCGAAGUCAAGCAACAUUGGGCGCGGUCAGUACUUGGGUGGGUGACCACCUGGGAACACCGCGUGCCGUCG